CAUCGUGAGAUGGAAUCUGAAGGAAGCUGGAUGUGAGGAACAUACUAACUCACGGGCAAAUCUCUGGUCUGACGAACAGAAAUCUCAUAUGAGGUCAUGCAUGAGGGUAAGACUGUAACCUUACAAAGAUGGGAGUACCCGAAGACUUGGCAAUGCAAGCGGGUAAGACCCGACGAGGAUAUUGGUUCGCAACGCAUACAGUUGCAGUAAACAUGGCAAUGAC
rnacentral:ncRNA from 1 species